UGGAUUGUAGUUCAGUGGCAGAACGCUUGGCUGUUAACCAAGAUGUCGCAGGUUCAAACCCUGCCAAUCCAG
rnacentral:tRNA from 1 species